rnacentral:rRNA from 1 species
UACGUAGGGAGCGAGCGUUGUCCGGAAUUACUGGGUGUAAAGGGAGCGUAGGCGGGGCGGCAAGUCAGGUGUGAAAUUUAUGGGCUUAACCCAUAACCUGCAUUUGAAACUGUCGCUCUUGAGUGAAGAAGAGGUUGGCGGAAUUCCUAGUGUAGCGGUGAAAUGCGUAGAUAUUAGGAGGAACACCAGUGGCGAAGGCGGCCAACUGGGCUUUUACUGACGCUGAGGCUCGAAAGCGUGGGGAGCAAACAGG